rnacentral:lncRNA from 1 species
CCUCACUGUGAUCUUCUCCUGUAACAAACUCGUCACGCUGUAACCAUCUCCACGGAACCCAGAGUCCGUUGCUCGCAGCCUAGAAUCGACCUUCGUAGGGCUAUAAAGCCAUAUACCGGGCGCCACCAAUUGUGCACCCACCUGACGACAUCGUGCCACCACCGAGAGAGGACAAUAGAGAGGGAGAGAGAGAGCAUGGAGCUGUCGCGGCUAUUCUUCCUCGGAGAUGCGAAUGGGUUCCAGUGAAGAGGGCAUGAGAGUCUACAGGGCACAUGGAAGCUACGGCUCCCACCAAUUUGACGAGCAUGGCUUCAGAGCCGGGGUAAUUGCUCGCCGUCGUCGUGGAGCCAUAUCUUGCCGCGGGCAGUGUGGUCAUCGUCUCUGAUUUCGGUAAGAAACCCUUCCUGCCUGUUCGCCCUGUCCUCCUUUUUGUGUAGCAUAAACUAGGCUCGCGGUUGGUGGUCGGGACCAUCGGUUGGUCGCGCGAUGGCCAUGGCACCGCCGUCGGGGUUUGGACGCCACCGUGGAUCGGCGUCGGGAGGUGGAAGGGGAUCCCUGGCCAUGGAACCGUAAGGGUUUAGGGAUCCUCGGGUCAGAGUGUCUAUAAAGCUUUUCGGACGAGAAAUUCCUAUAUCGCCUUUGUCCCGGAAUCUAUUGCGGGUUCUCUCAUCUAGUGAAACUUUGUAAAAGCCUUGCAGUGGAUCCCUAGUCAUUCACCUUGUAAGUGUCUAAGGGUCUUGCAAACCCUGGCUAAACAGGAAACACGUCUUGUGGGUAAAGAUGUGCAACCUCUGCAGAGUGUAAAACUGGUAUAUCAUCCGUGCUCGCAGUCAAGAGCGACUCAGGACUCUCACAUGAUUAACUUAUAGAAUUAAAUUUAAUUUGGCAUAUGCAUUACAUUGUGGGAUUAUUAUUAAUUGUGAUCAAUUAUUUAUUUGGGUUGGUAUACACUUGUACUUAGUAAUUGCUAAUAAAAGUUUGACCAACUUAUUAAAAGCAAUGCUCAACCUUAACUAUUUUUCUUGGUAAGUCUUACACUUCACAUGAGCCCCCACUUUAAGUGAGCUCAUACACAUUAUUCCCUACAACUUGUUGAGCGAUCAACAUAUGUGAGUUCAUCCUUAUUGUACUCACACCUAGGUCAAGAACAGGUACUACAAGAUGGAUCAUGAAGGAUGCUACAAUGAGUUCGGAGAGGUCUAGCUCGUCUUCUCCCAGUCAACUAUGGUUGCAGAGGAUCGUUGUCGUCAAUCGUCAUAUGAUGUAAUUAUUUUAGCUAUUUUGUAUAGAACCCCUAUUUUAUAAUAAAUAUGUGACAUUGAUUUCUGUAUCAUGAGUCAUCAUAUGUGUGAAACUUGAUCCUAGCACACAUUUGAUUCGUGCCC